UCUCCGUUGGUGAACCAGCGGAGGGAUCAUUACAGGACUCGCAAGACUCCUUCACCCUGUGAACCUUACUACAAGCACGUUGCUUCGGCGGGUGUCCCGGCGGGGGUUUUCCCUCGCCGGGGCGCACAGCCCGCCGGCAGCCUACUAUACUCUGUCUCUUUGCGUUGGCAUCUCGAGAAAAAACAAACAAGUUAAAACUUUCAACAACGGAUCUCUUGGUUCUG
rnacentral:misc_RNA from 1 species